UGUUGGGUAUAUCCAGCAGAGCACCAUUGGCCAGAUGGUUACUUUUUGAAAGAAUACCUCAUAAAAUCGGUUCUCGCUGUGAAAUAAUCGCAUAUAACGUUCAAUGGAGAUGAUCAUCAUGUGAAUGACACUGACGGCGAUACAGUGCUCUUUGGAAGCGUAGUACCACAGGCAUAGCCAAUGCUCCAGUGGCCAACAUUCGUGCAUCAGCCAUAAGGUCACGGCCACUGGCAGGACAUAGAUGCCCACAAGGCAGUCAGCGACGCAGUUGGAUACCAGCAGAAUAUUCGCGGGGGUUCGAAGUUUCUUGUAGGGAAUCACCGAUAAAAUAAAUACGAUGUUUGACAGAAUGGUGAUCAAAGCGACGGCGUAUAUAGCGCAAGCCAGUGCUAGUCGUGAUGACGUGAUGUCCAGCUCGGAUGUGCAGUUACAAGCUUUGGGAACAAUUAUACUGGAGUUCAUUUUGAUGUACAUUUCACAAAGGAGUAGGUGGCUCCCUGCAGAACCCCGACAGAGGUGACGCGGACGCAGACGUCGUUGGUGCAGAAGGGGUCAACGUUGGGAUUUGCGGAAGUGUACCACUCGUGGCUGAUGGCCACGAGGUCUUGCGAGGCAGCAUUGAUCUGCGUACCACAUGCUCCGUAUCCAGCGUCGUUGUAAAAGGUCAACUUCGUGCCGGUAAAGGUCUUUCCCCAAGGAAUAUUGGCUUGAGCUGAUACAAUCUGAAAUUCGAUGGGCUGCGAUUAGCAUACCGGAAAAGGAUCUUCUGUCUCACCGUCUUUGCGACAUAUGUGAGAGAUAUUUCCUUUACGGCGCAUCAAACAACAGUUAAGGUAAUAAACAUUUGUCCAGAUGGUAGUUAGAUAACACUGCAUCAUCAGCUGGAGCUACGUAAAAUUGGUUCAGUACUGAAUAUCCCUCCACACAGUUAUCGUUUUCAUAGAAAUGGAACAGCCAUUCAUAUCAGAAGUAAAUAAUAAUUAUGAGUAAGUGCUCGGUAUAUUAUCCGGUAAUUUCCGUUAAGAUCAGUCACACUAUCAGUGCUCGUAUCAGAGAUCAAAUCGCUUUGAUCAUACUGAUCACGGUUAAAUCUGAUGGUGAGCGUUGGAGGAUGACCCCCGGAUCUGGAAGGUGGACAGCUGUAAAGUACGCACUUCUUACUGUACUUGAAACGUACUUUUGGUCGUUGUGGGUCACAUCAACUGCUGACAAGAAUAAAUACUGAACCAAAUGAAAUUAAAUUAAUAAGCACUUAUUUACAAAAUGUAUGUACAGUGGAACCUCCCGAUCCUGAACACUCUCGGUACGGAGUUUCUUGUUCAAGGUUCGGGGAUGUUCAGGGUUUAGAAGUACUGCUGCCAGGGGCACCGACGCCCCUGGGGGGGCGCAUAAAAUUCCAGUCGUAAUGAUGUAUAUUAUAUUAGCGCGUAUGCUAAUAUGCAAAAGGAUAUCUGCUGUACUUUAAUAUAUUUCACGUCGUAAUUUAUUAAUUAAUUGAUUAUAAUGUUAUUCUGGUGUUAUUUUUGUUGGCCAUGAUGACUAAGGUUUCAGUUUCAUGAACUGAAACUAAGGCUACGGAUUGGUACUACACGAAACAACACGUUAUUCUCCGCUAAUCUGCUUGCGGUGAGAUCCGUGAACACUUUGAACAGUUCCCGGAUGCUUUCACUGUUUCGCACACAAAACGCAGCCGCUCUCUGUUCACGUUUAGAGGUCCGUUUUACUAAGCAAACGUAUCACGGUAAGCAGCCAGGUGUUCAGGGUUCAGAGGUCCCCCUAAUGUUAUAGCUUACGAGAGUUGCGCGUACGAAAAAAAUUGCUCAAGAUUCGGGGUUGUUCAGGGUUCAGAGGUGUUCAAGAUCGGAGGUUCCACUGUAUUGUACAAUACAGUACACGUAUUCUUUGUAAGAGUAAUUAUUAUUCGCUGUUAAUAACCAACAGCUACGUGCACAGAUAUAGUAUUUCUUAAGCAUGUUGAAAAUGUCUUUCGUACAUUUGAUGGUGAGUCUAUGUGUAGAUCUAUAUUGUGCAGACGUCUGUAGCACUGCAUGGAUUAUGUUUGUACUUGUAUGUGUCGCAUCAUCUACUUCCCUAAUUAUAGUACUUCACUAAUUAAUGGUACUGGUGCAUGGUACAGAAGAUGAUAAGUUUAACAUCACCAAUAUUUUAUUUUUUAACACAUAUGAUGACUGAUUGAUCGCUGAGCUGUUUGCAAUAAAUGGUGUGAAUAACGCGAAUAAAAAAAUUGUGGUUUGGAAAACUGGUAAAAAA